rnacentral:rRNA from 1 species
GAUGAACGCUGGCGGCGUGCCUAAUACAUGCAAGUCGAGCGAACAGACGAGGAGCUUGCUCCUCUGACGUUAGCGGAGGAGGGGUGAGUAACACGAGGAAAACCUACUUAUAAGAGUGGGAUAAUUACGGGAAACCGGAGCUAAUAGGGGAUAAUAUAUUGAAGCGUAGGGGUGAAUAGUGAAAGACGGCGGUGGGGGAACGAAUAGAGGGAUAUGCGCCGCAUUAGCUAGUAGGUAUGGUAAAGGCUUACCAAGGCAACGAUGCGUAUCCGACCUGAGAGGGUGAGCGGCCACACUGUAACUGUGACACGGUCCAUUCUCCUACGGUAGGCAGCAGUAUUCAUUCUUCCGCAAUGGGCGGGAGCCUUACGCAACAGCGCCGAGUGAUUUAUGAAGAUCUUCGGAUCGUAAAUCUCUGCUAUUGGGUUAGAACAACUGUUUAAGUAUCUAUACACGUCUUGACGGUACCUAGUCAGAAAGCCCCGGCUAACUACGUG